CAAAUAUCCUCAUAAGUUAGACGAAAAGAGGUACCAUUUAUGGUUUCUAUUUAUAGAUCGAUAAAUGGUGGCACAGAAUCGGAGGCCACGACUGUUUACUAAAAACACAACACAGUGCAAUCAUUAAUAUGGUAGUAUACUGUGUGAAAUUUGCCCAAUGCCAUUAAUAUAAAAGCGGUCAUGGGAAACUGUGACUAAUUGAAAAUCUGGUUAAUAGCGGUCUUAACCAUGAGGAUCCUAAGGUAGCAAAAUAAAUUGGCCAUUAAAUGUGGUCCGGUAUCAAUAAUGUAACGAUGGCCUCACUGUCUCUACAACUUGCUCAGUGAAAUUGAAUUACGCGUGCAGAUGCGCGUUACCUCCAGUGGGACGGGAAGACCCUAUGCG
rnacentral:rRNA from 1 species